AUUAUGAAAGACCUUUUCAUCAUUUUGAUCUGAAAUCUACUUUUUCUAAUAUGAAUACAGCUACUCCAGCUUUCUUUUGAUUAGUGUGAACAUGGUAUAUCUUUUCCCGUACUUUCUCAGAGCCGUCUGUUCUCAGGCCAAGCUCGCUUCCUACUCUGCCAUAAGGUGAGCCACCUCUACCUGCCUGGAGAUCGACCUGCGGUCAUCCAGUUCCACCAGUGCCUGGCUGGAGCUAUAAGUUGGUGCUGUUUGCCAGGGUUGGUGUCUACAGAGGGCCAGGGGAAUUCCAAGCGAGGGAAGCAAGGAGAACUUCUUGGACUCCUCAAGUUCUACCAGAAGGCAGUGCUAUGGUGUGCCCAACCCUCCCAGGGGCCUAAAUGGCCACCCUCUUGGGAAUGCCCAAAGCAUCUGCUAUUUAGGACUUGGUUACAGAGCGCCAUCAGCUUCCCCAAGUUUGUGGGGAAGACAACUUGUCACAAUGCCAAUCUCUGCAUUUCUCCAUCCUGCCCACCAGAGUAUCCUGAAAGACUUGGUCAAAUAUCUUGCUGA
rnacentral:lncRNA from 1 species